rfam:Spirochaeta coccoides DSM 17374, complete genome.
GGAGAGGUGCGAGAGCGGUCGAAUCGGGCUCCCUGCUAAGGAGUUGUGCUGGUAACGGCACCGAGGGUUCGAAUCCCUCCUUCUCCG